GCGGGACACGUGGUAUCCUGUCUGAAUAUGGGGGGACCAUCCUCCAAGGCUAAAUACUCCUGACUGACCGAUAGUGAACCAGUACCGUGAGGGAAAGGCGAAAAGAACCCCGGCGAGGGGAGUGAAAAAGAACCUGAAACCGUGUACGUACAAGCAGUGGGAGCACCCUUUGGGGUGUGACUGCGUACCUUUUGUAUAAUGGGUCAGCGACUUAUAUUCUGUAGCAAGGUUAACCGUAUAGGGGAGCCGGAGGGAAACCGAGUCUUAACCGGGCGUUAAGUUGCAGGGUAUAGACCCGAAACCCGGUGAUCUAGCCAUGGGCAGGUUGAAGGUUGGGUAACACUAACUGGAGGACCGAACCGACUAAUGUUGAAAAAUUAGCGGAUGACCUGUGGCUGGGGGUGAAAGGCCAAUCAAACCGGGAGAUAGCUGGUUCUCCCCGAAAGCUAUUUAGGUAGCGCCUCGUGAAUUCAUCUCCGGGGGUAGAGCACUGUUUCGGCUAGGGGGCCAUCCCGGCUUACCAACCCGAUGCAAACUGCGAAUACCGGAGAAUGUUAUCACGGGAGACACACGGCGGGUGCUAACGUCCGUCGUGAAGAGGGAAACAACCCAGACCGCCAGCUAAGGUCCCAAAGUCAUGGUUAAGUGGGAAACGAUGUGGGAAGGCCCAGACAGCCAGGAUGUUGGCUUAGAAGCAGCCAUCAUUUAAAGAAAGCGUAAUAGCUCACUGGUCGAGUCGGCCUGCGCGGAAGAUGUAACGGGGCUAAACCAUG
rnacentral:rRNA from 1 species